rnacentral:rRNA from 1 species
UACGGGGGGGGCAAGCGUUGUUCGGAAUUACUGGGCGUAAAGGGCUCGUAGGCGGCCAACUAAGUCAGACGUGAAAUCCCUCGGCUUAACCGGGGAACUGCGUCUGAUACUGGAUGGCUAGAGGUUGGGAGAGGGAUGCGGAAUUCCAGGUGUAGCGGUGAAAUGCGUAGAUAUCUGGAGGAACACCGGUGGCGAAGGCGGCAUCCUGGACCAAUUCUGACGCUGAGGAGCGAAAGCCAGAGGAGCAAACGGG